rnacentral:rRNA from 1 species
AUGGUUCACCUGCCGCACAUGGGGAAGCUGCGGCGGGGGCUGAAGGAGGAGGCGGUGGACGACGACGGCGACGCCGCGGGGGCUGCCGGGGCUGAGGCGUCGCCGUUCCAUAAGAGGUCCCGCCUCGCGCACCAGCAGCAGCCGCCGCAGCAAUGGAGCACAGGCGGUGCUAGUGUGUCCAAUCAGCAGUCAUCGCAACAUGAUUUCCUUGAGGAGCCUAGUCCACUUGGCUUGCGGCUUAAGAAGAGCCCCUCUCUCGUGGAUUUGAUCCAAAUGAAGCUUGUGCAGGCUGGCAAGGCCAAAGACGCCCGGCAUGGUGGCACUGCUAGUGCCUCGGAGAAAUUAAAAGCCUCCAACUUCCCUGGUUCUAUUCUCAGAAUCGGAUCUUGGGAGUGGGUAUCAAGGCACGAAGGUGAUCUGGUUGUGAAAUGCUAUUUUGCAAAACACAAACUCGUGUGGGAAGUACUGGAUGGUGGUCUCAAGAGUAAAAUUGAGAUACAGUGGUCUGAUAUCUGUGCACUUAAGGUGGUUUGUCCAGAAACGGAACCUGGCACCCUGGAAAUCGCGUUGUCUAGGCAACCACUUUUCUUCAGAGAAACGAAUCCGCAGCCAAGGAAGCACACUUUGUGGCAGGCAACUUCUGAUUUUACUGCUGGACAGGCAAGCAUGCACAGGAGGCACUUUCUUCAGUGUGCGCCCGGAAUGAUGAAUAAGCAUGUGGAGAAGCUUGUUCACUGUGACCCACGUCUAUGCUCGCUAAGCCAGCAAAAUGAGAUCACGUUGGAGAAUCCGUAUUUUGAAUCAAGAUCUUCCAUAUUUGAAGAUCCAGAUGAUGUGAAGUGCCAAAAUUUUGUGCAUAAUAAAGAUGAUGACGAUCAGUUAACCCCCCAAAGAUUUAGGGAACUAUUACAGCAUCAUUCUGCAUCCGGUAGGAUAGAUGCUGAAGAGAGACAGGAAGCUGGAACAUCAGAUGGCUUGCCUCAAGGUUUCUCUAAUUCAGUUGCUGACAGUCAAGUGAUUAAACAAGACGAUGGUUCCAGUGUGGGUGAACCACAUACAAACAUCCUUAGUUGGAACGGUUUUAAGUUGCCAGGGAUCCGGCGCUCCAUGUCCAAGAGUGAGAUAGCAAACCACAUUGGGCACCACAUCUACAGACAUAUGUAUUCAGGGAACCUACCCGCAGCUGAUGGUGGUGCUGGCACAUCAGGUAAACUGGCCAUAGACGACAUUACCCGGUACCUCCUAAACGACUCUCAGAUCCUCGAUGGUGGCAAUGACUCAACGGGUAAACUAGCAUUUGAUGAGAUGACCCGGCAACUUCUGAACGACUCCCAAAUCACUAUUGCUGCUGAUGAGAGGAUGCUCAUGUCAAGAGUCAAUUCUCUGUGUUCAUUGAUCCAGAGAGAUUCAGGCACAGGCCAGGUAAACUCUGGUGUUCACAGUGAUAAUAAUGAGAUUCAUGAGAGAAAGCCCCAAGCUUAUGCGCCUCUUGUUGAAGGAGACAGUGGCAAUGGCUCAUUGCCUCCAAGGCAAGAACCAUUUGGGGACCUGCUUACGCAUCUGCCGCGCAUCUCAUCAUUUCCUCAUUUCUUGUGA